rnacentral:rRNA from 1 species
GGUGUGGAUAGGGGAGAAAUUCCAAUCGAACCCGGAGAUAGCUGGUUCUCCUCGAAAUAGCUUUAGGGCUAGCCCAUGACAAGUCUGCCGCAGGUAGAGCACUGAAUUUCCUAGGGGGCGUCAAAGCCUACCGAAGAAUAUCAAACUCCGAAUGGCGGCCAGAUGGUGUCAUGGAGUCAGACUGCACGAGAUAAGUUGGGUGGUCAAAAGGGAAAGAGCCCAGACCCACAGCUAAGGUCCCAAAGUGCGUGUUAAGUGGAAAAGGAUGUGGGAUUUCGAAGACAACUAGGAUGUUGGCUCAGAAGCAGCCACACAUUAAAAGAGUGCGUAAUAGCUCACUAGUCGAGAGGUCCUGCGCCGAAAAUGUCCGGGGCUGAAACACGACACCGAAGCUUGGGAAUCCUACGGGAUUGGUAGAGGAGCAUUGAAGACGGGACGAAGCGUAACCGUAAGGAUACGUGGACUGUCUUGAAGAGAGAAUGCCGGAAUGAGUAGCGAGAAUGAAGUGAGAAUCUUCAUGGCCGAAUAUCUAAGGUUUCCAGGGUAAAGCUGAUCUGCCCUGGGUAAGUCGGGACCUAAGGCGAGGUCGAAAGACGUAGCCGAUGGACAACAGGUUGAAAUUCCUGUACUGCAUUAAAUCAGAACUGUGGGGACACAGAAGGAAGGCAUGAGCCGGAAAAGGAAAAUCCGGUGCAAGCAUGGGAGGGGUAUGACAGGCAAAUCCGUCAUGCAACCCGAGAAUGUGACGCGGAGCGAACAAAAGUAGCGAAGCAUGCUUACCGGCUGUCGAGAAAAGCCGCUAUUGCGUUUAAUGCACCCGUACCGUAAACCGACACAGGUGGAUGAGGAGAGAAUCCUAAGGCCGGCGGGAGAAGCAUUGUUAAGGAACUCGGCAAAAUGACCCCGUAACUUCGGGAGAAGGGGUGCUCUUAGAAAUAAGAGCCGCAGAGAAUUGGCCCAAGCAACUGUUUAGCAAAAACACAGGUCUAUGCAAAACCGAAAGGUGAGGUAUAUGGGCUGACGCCUGCCCGGUGCUGGAAGGUUAAGAGGAGAGGUCAGAGCAAUCGAAGCCUUGAAUUUAAGCCCCAGUAAACGGCGGCCGUAACUAUAACGGUCCUAAGGUAGCGAAAUUCCUUGUCGGGUAAGUUCCGACCCGCACGAAAGGCGUAAUGAUUUGGGCACUGUCUCGACAAUGCACCCGGUGAAAUUGAAAUACCAGUGAAGAUGCUGGUUACCUGCGCCAGGACGGAAAGACCCCAUGGAGCUUUACUCCAGUUUGAUACUGGGAUUCGGUAUUGCAUGUACAGGAUAGGUGGGAGGCUGUGAAGCGAUGACGCCAGUUGUCGCAGAGCCGCUGUUGGGAUACCACCCCUGCAGUACUGGGUUUCUAACCUGCGGCCGUAAUCCGGCCGGGGGACAAUGUCUGACGGGGAGUUUGACUGGGGCGGUCGCCUCCGAAAGGGUAUCGGAGGCGCUCAAAGGUUCCCUCAGAAUGGUUGGAAACCAUUCGAAGAGUGCAAAGGCAGAAGGGAGCUUGACUGCGACACCGACGGGUGGAGCAGGUACGAAAGUAGGACUUAGUGAUCCGGUGGUAUGAAAGUGGGAUUGCCAUCGCUCAACGGAUAAAAGCUACCCUGGGGAUAACAGGCUUAUCACUCCCAAGAGUUCACAUCGACGGAGUGGUUUGGCACCUCGAUGUCGGCUCAUCGCAUCCUGGGGCUGUAGUAGGUCCCAAGGGUUGGGCUGUUCGCCCAUUAAAGCGGUACGCGAGCUGGGUUCAGAACGUCGUGAGACAGUUCGGUCCCUAUCCGGCGUGGGCGUAGGAUAUCUGAGAGGAGCUGUCCUUAGUACGAGAGGACCGGGAUGGACUGACCUCUGGUGUACCGGUUGCACUGCCAAGUGCAUGGCCGGGUAGCCAAGUCGGGACGGGAUAAACGCUGAAGGCAUCUAAGCGUGAAGCCCCCCUCAAGAUGAGAUAUCCCAUAGAGUAAUCUAGUAAGACCCCUUGA